CCUACGGGUGGCAGCAGUGGGGAAUAUUGGACAAUGGGGGCAACCCUGAUCCAGCCAUGCCGCGUGUGUGAAGAAGGCCCUCGGGUUGUAAAGCACUUUCAGUGAGGAAGAACGCCUGGUGGUUAAUACCCAUCAGGAAAGACAUCACUCACAGAAGAAGCACCGGCUAACUCCGUGCCAGCAGCCGCGGUAAUACGGAGGGUGCGAGCGUUAAUCGGAAUUACUGGGCGUAAAGCGCGCGUAGGUGGCUUGAUAAGCCGGUUGUGAAAGCCCCGGGCUCAACCUGGGAACGGCAUCCGGAACUGUCAAGCUAGAGUGCAGGAGAGGAAGGUAGAAUUCCCGGUGUAGCGGUGAAAUGAGUAGAGAUCGGGAGGAAUACCAGUGGCGAAGGCGGCCUUCUGGACUGACACUGACACUGAGGUGCGAAAGCGUGGGUAGCAAACAGGAUUAGAUACCCUUGUAGUC
rnacentral:rRNA from 1 species